CAAUAGGAAAACCGCAGCGUUUCAUUAAAAUUUAACAUCUUGGCCUCAUCAACCCUACGGCUGCAACGAAGAACGUGGAAACGGCUGUGUUCAUAAGCAGAGGAGGAGAAGAGGCUUCGAUGGACGACGAAUCAGAUCUACUCCAUAUGUAGAUGGCUCAUCUGCCGCUGCGUCUCUGGCUUCACCGAUACGUAUCCAGCUUCGCCGUUGCGUCUCCGAAUUAUCCUCUCAGAUGAAUCUCCAAGGCGUCAUGAAAAGUUAACCGAAGGCGUCAAUCUUAAAUCCGUUUCCUUCAUGUCUCAGUUCCAUAGCUCACGACCUGAUUGUAAUUUAUACGCUUCUUGGGUUUCUGCAAACGAAGAAGUAUUGUGUACUGCUUUAUAUCAAGGAGAAAAUUUUGAAGAAGCUAUCUAAGCAGCAGCUUUAAGGUUUGCGUGUGUGGACCGUGGUCAGACAGAGAAUAGCUGUUGUAGUCAGACAGAGAAUAUCUGUUGUGUGAAGUGUCCAAAUCAAGGUUUAUUCUUUACUAUUCCUCAAAUUCAAAUUUGGCAAAUUUAGUUUUCGACCUCUUUAGAUGGCUUUGACAAUCAAAUCUUCGGUAUCUUUACUGUUCUUUCUGAAUAAUUUGUCUUUUGAGUCAGAAAAUGAAUUAAGAUAUAUUCUCUUUUGGUUUAUGUUCGUAUAGAUAACAAAUCGAACUCCAGCAUAAAAAUUACAAUAUUAGAAUGUCAUGUCUUCCUUAUUA